AGCUGUUCCCCUCUGGAGGUUUCAAACCUUCACACCUGAUAGGCCCCGGCACACGCUGUGGGCCUUUUUUUUGUCCGUC
rnacentral:misc_RNA from 1 species